UAAGUAAGCUUUAAUCAAAUUCAAAGAAACCUCAAAGGAAUUACAAAGAAAUAAUAAGAAAUCUUAAAGAAAUAUUAGAAUAAUCACAAAUAUAUCUCAAAUACAUCUCAAUUCAAUCUUAAUUUAAUUCUAGUUAAAAUCCUAUUGGACUUUAUUCAAAUUUUAGGCCAAAAAUAAACUAAAUCUUAAACCCUAAAUAAAUCCUAAUAAAAUCCUAAAUUCUAAACCAAAUCCUAAUCAAAUCCUAAAUUAAAUCCUAAUCAAAUCCUAAACCCUAAAUAAAAUCCAAAUCAAAUCCUAAAUCCUAAAUCAAUCCCUAGUAAUUCCUAUAACAGAUUUAAACCUUGAUUAUUAAUGAAUGAACCAUUGAUCUUAGCUCAAAAUUUGCACACUUCUUAACAAUUAAGUUGACAACAAGCAUAAAAAAUUUGAAAAGGAUUGGAAUUACCAAAUAGAUGAUAGCCUCAAAAACAUGCUUGGAUAUUGACUGGCCUCCUUCUCCGACCUUCAUGCCAAUCUCCCAGAGCAAAUAUCUCUCCUUUUCAUUGUUUGAUUGAUUUCAAAAUUAUUAUAUAUACUGGCCUCCUUCUUUGACCUUAAUGCCAAUCUCCCAAAAUCAAUAUCUCUCUUUUUCACUAUUUGAUUGAUUUCAAAAUUAUUAUAUAUAUUAGCCUCCUUCUCUGACCUUGAUGCUAAUUUUCCAAAGCCAAUAUCUCUCUUUUUCACUAUUUGAUUGAUUUAAAAAUUAU
rnacentral:lncRNA from 1 species